GACAAUCAAGAUGUUGUGUU
rnacentral:siRNA from 1 species